CUGCAUGCUCGAGAAGAGGCGAUUCCCUUCUCCACCAUCUUCUCCGGCGCGUCUUGAUUCGCCGACAAAUUCUACGCCGGCGAUCCAUCUUUUCAUACUCCUUCCUCCUUCCUCCAUCCUCCUUCCUCCAUCCUCCUUGCGUAUAUAGGAGUUGGCGCGACGAGGAUGAAGCCUCUACUGACCAUUAUGAACAACAAGGUCUUUGAUUUUAAUCUCCGUCCCUCUUUUCCCCAAAAUUGAAGGAAUGGUGUACCAGUUUCCAAAAUGCAUACUUCAACAAGGAGCUGAGCCCCAGAUAGAUAAGAUUAACAACAUGUGUAGAUGUGGAAUUUUUGACGACAUCAAGAGUGCUCUCAGAGAUGAGUAUGAUGAAGUUUUGAAAGACUCUGUCUUCGGUCCGAUUCUGGCAAUCAUAGAGAACCAGCUCAUUUUCUCAGAGAGGAUUAUCCACAGCUUCAUUUGCAAGCAGCUUCACUUUUUAUCCGAUUUCACAAGCUUGUAGUCGAAAUUAUGUUUUACUGCACAUAUCUCCAUUGUUGCA